AUGUGCUGUCAUACCACCGUGAGCACGCCAGUCUCUUCUGAUUUCAGAGCUAAGCAUGAGCAGGUCUGGUUAGUCCUUGGAUGGGAGACCACCAAAGAAUAACAGCAAGAACUGGGAAAG
rnacentral:rRNA from 1 species